AUUACAUUCGGACCGUUGGUCUACUGAGUAGUUACACCCACUCGGUGGAAGAUCUUCCCUUUGUCAC
rnacentral:pre_miRNA from 1 species